AAUGUCAUAACGACUCUCGGCAACGGAUAUCUCGGCUCUCGCAUCGAUGAAGAACGUAGCGAAAUGCGAUACUUGGUGUGAAUUGCAGAAUCCCGUGAACCAUCGAGUCUUUGAACGCAAGUUGCGCCCGAAGCCGUCAGGCCGAGGGCACGUCUGCCUGGGCGUCACGCAUCGCGUCGCCCCCCUCCCCUCGCACAGCGCGGGCGAGGCGGGGCGG
rnacentral:rRNA from 1 species